rnacentral:rRNA from 1 species
GACGAACGCUGGCGGCGUGCUUAACACAUGCAAGUCGAGCGGUAAGGCCCUUUCGGGGGUACACGAGCGGCGAACGGGUGAGUAACACGUGGGUGACCUGCCCUUAGCUCUGGGAUAAGCCUGGGAAACUGGGUCUAAUACCGGAUAUGACUCCAUAACGCAUGUUGUGGGGUGGAAAGCCUUGUGCGGCUAGGGAUGGGCCCGCGGCCUAUCAGCUUGUUGGUGGGGUGAUGGCCCACCAAGGCGGACGACGGGUAGCCGGCCUGAGAGGGCGACCGGCCACACUGGGACUGAGACACGGCCCAGACUCCUACGGGAGGCAGCAGUGGGGAAUCUUGCGCAAUGGGCGAAAGCCUGACGCAGCGACGCCGCGUGGGGAUGAC